rnacentral:tRNA from 2 species
GUCAGGAUGGCCGAGCGGUUCAAGGCAUUGCGUUCAGGUCGCAGUCUCCUCUGGAGGCGUGGGUUCGAAUCCCACUUCUAACA